GUCUCUUUCAGGAGACUGCUCCUCUGGGAGUUUUCUUUUCUGCAAGCCUACAACGCAGAAAGUGAAGGAGCUCUUCCAGUACAUCGGAAAGACCAGAAAAGCAAUUCUGUAUGUUUUUGCCUCCUAAUUUUGAUACAAACUGGGAGUAACUGCACUUAUUUCAGGCUCACACAGCAUCAUAUCCUCCUUCUGUUUGGUUAUUAGACAUAAACUUGUCUGUUUUUAUCAAUUUAGUAAUACAUCCUCAUACGUGACACUAAGACUUGUCUGAAUCGCUGGUUUUGAAUCCUUCUUUCAUGUUUAAAAUAUUACCAUUUUGCUACAUUUAUUCAUCUGGGUUUAAGUUUUGGUUACUUCAACUUUUUAUGUUCAUUUUAACUUAGAGAAAAUCAAUUGAUAAAACAUUGCAUUUGUUUACACAUUUUCAAAUUAAUAUGUUAUGUAAAGUAAUAAUGUCAGAUUGAAUCCUGUAAUAUUUAGAUAUGAAAAUGGCCCCGAUUUUUUUUUUUUUUUUGCAUGCUUUACCUCACCAAAACUACUGAUGUAAACAAAAGGCAUCAAGUAUGAAUUUUGAAUUAGAAAACUGAACCUUCAACAACUGAGUCUGGUUGGUACUAACAUGCUGCGUCAAACCUCAUUAAAACCGCCAAUAGAGGACUAUCCUGCAUAUAAGUAUAAUGCCAUAACCCACUACUGCAGAGACAAAGAAGGCUCCAGUUCAUGGCGACCCAAGGGACAAGAUGUGCAGCUGGUCAGACAAGUACAUGAAUGAAAUUUUUACUAAAUUAGUUGUUUAGUAUUUUUAUCAUUGCCUCUCUCUGCCUGCUGUUUCUCUGCUUGUCAAAUCUGCUCUUUGCAUUCCGACCUGCAGGCAUGAAAUGGGUAGUUCUCUCCCAGAUACUUGCCAGUAAAUCCUCAGUAGUAACACAAAACAGAGCCUGAAUGGGGAGACACCACGAGGGCUCUUUCACAAACAGAACAGUGAGCCAGGCCACACUUCUGCUGGCUCAACAGACAGCUGAAUGGGCUUUGUUUGCUGCUAGAUGGAGGUGACUAAUGAUGUAAAGAGAACUUACUUUGCUAUGAGAGACCUCCAAAUGCAUUUAGCUGAAUGAUGCCUAGCAGGAAAGGCAGAAAAUGUCGGAUCAGUUUAAAAAAAAGGAGUGUACUUUCACACUCAGUACAUUGGUAUAUGUAUGCAUUUAUAUUUUGUCUUUUGUAUUUUGUUUUUGUCUUCCUUUCUUAUUUUUAUUUUUGUUUUGUAACUGGGCUUAGAUAUCUUUCUUAGGCAAUGUCUUCUUAAUGCAAAUUUAGUGACAGAUAUAGGUGUGUGCAGAUGUUCUGUUUGAGGACAAAACAGAAAGUUUUCUACUAAAUUAGGCCUGAUUUGGCUUGGCAGAAAGAUCCAGAGCAAAUUACAGAGACCACAAGGUAUCAGUGACUGCAUGGAUUCUUCUGAACUGUGUAAGACUGGCAAUUCCAAAUCUGUGAAUCAAAACAAAAAUAAAAGGAGGUUUCCUGUGGUGAUUAGACU
rnacentral:lncRNA from 1 species